ensembl:lncRNA
GUAAGUAGUUUGGGCGCACUGUCCUGUGCAUAUGCCUCUUUUCUGCUUAUUAAGAGCAAUGUAAUGAUUUGUGCAUCCUUAAUAUGUUUCAGUGCAGUACAUGUUCACAUACAUGUCGUGAGGUCUUUAAAUUCAUAUUUACAUUUCAAACAUAUGUCUGUCCAUUUAUUUCACCCAGAUACAUGCAUUAGAUAGACAAAUAUUUGGUUUCCUUUCAGUGCUACCCUCAAACAACUGUUAUGUUAAAUGUCUUCACACUUCAUAAAAAGAAAAUGUAACAUAUGCAAAGUGAUCCUCCCCUCCACCACUGGGAGAUUAUAACAUGAACUGGCAUUUGGAUUCCUGAUCUUUGCAGAUAUUUACUUGUAAAAGAAUGCCUAUUAAAUAUUAACACCAAUAAAAAAACAAGAAAAUAUAUUAAUAUGAAGACAGUGAUAUAAUGGAAUAUAUUUAAUAUGAAAACUGCUAUCUCAUUAUGAGUUAAACAUCUUACAGCAAUGAAAAUUCAGUACUUCAAAGAAAAUUAAAGGUAUUGUAAUCUAGCACCAAGAAGAGGAAGUAGAGGUAUGGAAUGGCUUUGCUGAGGAAACUUGGGGUCAAACUAGUUAGUAUCUUCUGGGGCAAUUUAAAUUUGAACUUUUAUUCAUUUGACAGUGGAAGUUUUUCUGUGAUUUCUCUAUGGGAUAAUGGGAUGAUUCCAUUUGUGUUUUAGAAAGAUAAUCUUUGCAACAAUGAAAAGGGUGAAUUAGGAAAAAAAUAUUGCUUGAAAAAUGUGGGACUGAUCUGAGAGUGUCAGUGGUGGAAAGGAGGGGAAGUAUUUAGAAAGGCAUUUUAAAGGUAGAUCCAUAGAACUUUGAAUUGAGGAAUGAGGGAAAGAGAGAAGUUAAGGAUAACUCUGAGAAUUGCAGUUCAUGUAAUUGGGUAGCUAAUGAUGACAUUAAUUACAAUAAGGAAUAGUAACUAAGCUUUUUCAAGAGGGAGAUUGGAAACGAGGCAGAAACAGUAUAAAAGAACAGGGGGCUGGGGAUUUAGCUCAGUGGUUCUGCCGCUUGCCUUGCAAGCUCAA